rnacentral:rRNA from 1 species
ACGGAAGGCAGCAGUGAGGAAUAUUGGUCAAUGGGCGGAAGCCUGAACCAGCCAAGUCGCGUGAAGGAUGAAGGUAUUAUGUAUUGUAAACUUCUUUAGACGUAGAGAAAUAAGCCCCUCGUGAGGGGUGAUGCUAGUAUACGUAGAAUAAGGAUCGGCUAACUCCGUGCCAGCAGCCGCGGUAAUACGGAGGAUCCGAGCGUUAUCCGGAUUUAUUGGGUUUAAAGGGUGCGUAGGCGGGAUGGUAAGUCAGUGGUGAAAGUUUGCGGCUCAACCGUAAAAUUGCCGUUGAAACUGCCGUUCUUGAGUGCGAGCGAGGUAGGCGGAAUGUGCCGUGUAGCGGUGAAAUGCAUAGAUAUGGUACAGAACUCCGAUUGCGAAGGCAGCCUACCAGUACGCUACUGACGCUGAGGCACGAAAGCGUGGGUAUCGAACAGGAUUAGAUACCCUGGUA